UCCUCCCUCUUUUGGGAAUUUUUGCGCGAAUCGCGCGGAGAGAGAAGAGUGCAGCGGAGGAGGGAGAGAAAAGGAGAGUUUGUUUCCGCCAUGCUCAGAACAGCCCAAUAGAAAUCGGAGAAGCUGAUCCAGGAAUUGUAUUUGCCUAAUCUACAUCAGUGUAACUUUGGGUUAGGGUAACAGAGCGAAGAGGAAUACCAGGAUCUUAGUUCGUAGAAGAUGUGCAGUCCUUCCAACCUUCCACGUGUAGUGAUCGAUUACCAUACACACGUAUCGGCUUGAUGACCUUUUUUUUUGUCUUUGUCUUGAUUUUAGUCAUUAGUUCUGCACAUACCUGGGAUUUGAGUGAAGUAACAGAGGACGGACUGUAUUGUGGCCUCUGAGCUUGCGAAGCCCCUCACUGCUUACUGCAUGCAAUGACAGAAACGAGUUUGGAGUAAAAUCUCAGCCAAAAGAUGCUGAGGAAAGUGUGAGCUCCAUGUUGUGACAAAGCUAAUGUCAAAAAAGGACAGUGGUCUCCUGAGGAAGAUAAAGCUAAGUCUUGGGACUCAUGGAACUGGUGGCAAUUGGAUUCAUCUGCCACAAAAAGCUGGCUUUUAGAUUCUUCAACAAGAAUCAAGUUGACCACAUUAAGGGUGAUCAGAACACGUGGUUUUCUAAUAAAGAAGCCAAGCUGCCGAAAUUGCAGAAAGUCACCCCUCAAUUUGGAACUUUGUUUCUUCCAUGACUUGGCAUCUGAGUAAUCGACUGCAAUACUUUGAAGGUUAAGCAAUAUCAGUAUACCAAAGAUACAAAACGAAUUGCUUCUAAAAAGUCAUGGUUCUCUUACGAAUCUGGUCUGGGAAUGGCUUCCUGUGAUUUUGAUCAUUGAUUUAUUUGUAUUAUCCUCCAACACUGUGGCACUCAAAGUUUGUUUGGGAAGCCUCUACUUACACCGACUCCAACCUUCGACUCUAUCUCUUUCUUUGGGUUAUAAGCAAAACGGAUGAUCUCUAAUGUUCGGGAAGCCUCCAUUACCAUCAAGAAUCACUGUUAUCUAACCUGAAAGUCGGUGAUCAAAAUCACUAGCUCGGUAACACUUCCACUUUGUGAGAUUAACAUCAAUGUCAUAUUUUUUUAUCCGAAAUUGUUUUUCUCUGUUUUUGCAGUCUCUAUAAAACGUCGAGCGUUGAGAUACAAAAGAGAAGACGGCAAAUCAGUUUGCCUUCCUUUCGGAAAAGAAAACUAUCUCACAAGAUCUGGAGUUAGAAUCACUUUUUCCAGGCAUGUCUCCAUGAUCUGGAGUUGGAGAAUGGUAUUGGUGUUCUGAACAAAGGUUCUGCCAUUGGUAUUGGAUUUGGAACUUUGGGAUCGAACCUGCUUUAGUUAGACUUACAUAGGAUCUAGAAAGCAACUAGAAUAAGGGGAUUGAGUUUAUGCUUUCGGCCAGCGGAGGCAGCAUUCUAUCAUGGAUUGGACAUGAUUAUUUUGUUGUGGAUGAUAAGACUGCUGCACAUCAUGAGGCAGUAGGAAACCUAUUACUUCAGAUGGCUGUCAAUUCAUAUAUGUCAUGAUAUAUGUGUUCCUGCUGUGAGAAAUUGGGUGAGGACCUUCCCUUCCUUUCACUUCUAGCUUUGUAAUCAAGACUAAAUAGUGAGAUCUUUUCUAUUCCAUUUCAGUAGAAUAUUUGCUUAAACUAUGUUAUAUGCCUCACUGAUGUAUAAAAAUAAAUUACCUAAGUGUUUGUUUAUCAUUUUGCUAUUGGUUGAUUUGGCUUUUGGAUAGUGUGUUUGAGGUAUAU